UUUUUUUUUUUUUGUCUUUUGUCUUUUUAGGGCCGCGGCAUAUGAAGGUUCCCAGGCUAGGGGUCUAAUUGGAGCUAUAGCUGCCAGCCCACGACAGAGCCACAGCAAUGCCAGAUCCGAGCCGCAUCUGUGACCUACACCACAGUUCACGGCAACGCUGGAUCCUUAACCCACUGAGGGAGGCCAGAGAUUGAACCCGCAACCUCAUGGUUCCUAGUCGGAUUUAUUUCCGCUGUGCCAUGAUGGGAAUUCCUUGUUUUUGAUAUUCUUUAUAAUACUUACCUCUUACCCCUACCUUUACUUUAUGAUGACCCACUCCAAGGUAAUGUGCAGUGUUUAGCUCAGUGCUUAGUCUGUAUUCAUAUGUUACUAUUAUCCUAUAUAAUAUCAAAUGUAGGGACAGACACCCAGUAGGUACCCAAAAAGGAGCUACUGAAUGAAUUGGCUUUUACUUAGUCCCCAAGUAGACCUUCACAACUUCCAUCAAGCUAUACCAAUAGUAGGCCCGGGGCCAAGCACAACGUAGGAUUCAAUGAGCAUUACUGCCCCUCAUACGUACACAGGUCCUGGUCCUGUGUACUGACCAGAGCAGGUGCCCAACAACAAUGUACUUUCACUCCACAGAGAAGUUAGAAGAGAGCAUUACAGUAUGGAUAUAAAAGCUAGACCCCCUUCUUCAAAGUAUGAAGCCAUAGCCAACUGAGGAACUUCAAAAGCAGAUGACAAUGAGGAAUGUCAAAUCUAAAACAGGAGGCCUCUGAAAGGCCGCCUUGUCCAACCGCUCUGUUGUAUAGGUAGGGAAGCUGGGAAGUGGAAAUAGAAAGGGACUUGCAAACCCAGGAAGGCAACCCAAAUCCCAUGACACAGAACCUGAGGCUCAGAUCGGAAAUAAAGACUAAGAAAUGCUGUGCUUCUUGCAUCUUAAAAAAAAAAAAAAAAAAGAAAGACUGAUAAAUGCUUUCCAUGGCUUUUAGUGCAAAGAUCAAUGCUCUGGCUUAGGAGGCAGAGGAGUCAUGAGAAAUGAGUCUGAAAGUUCUCAUCUUAACUCUUCCUUCAACUCCCCAUGUAAUCUUGAGAAAGCCCCUACUCUCUGGGGUUCCCAUCAGAUUCAAAAGGACAAGGAGGAGUUCCCAUUGUGGCACAGUGGAAAGGAAUCCUCCUAGUAUGCAUGAGGAUGCAGGUUCGAUCCCUGGCCUCAUUCAGUGGGUCUGGGACCUGGCAUUACAGUGAGCUGUUGUGUAGGUCACAGACAUGACUUGGUUCCUGAGUUGCUAUGGCUGUGGCACAGGCGGCAGGCAGCUACAGAUCUGAUUUGACCCCUAGCCUGGGAACUUCCAUAUGCCACAGGUGCAGCCCUAAAAAAAAAAAAGACAAGAAGAAUCCAAGCUAAAGAGAUGCUUCUGAGCUUCUACCAAGAUUUCAUAAAAUCACACAUACCACCCAGUUCCAGACCCACUUUUCAGAUGGGAAAACUAAGGCCCAGAAAUGGGAAGGGACCAAUGUACAAUCACCCAGCAAAUUAGUGGCAGAUCCUCACUUAAGGCUCAUUCUGCUAUACCAGGGAGUGUCUCCAGAUAACAGCACUCACUCCUCUCCAUCUUACCUCUUUACUUCCCAGUUCAAAAACACAAGUAAGCAUCCCUCCUUUGGAAGACACCAGGGAAGUAAGAGGCAUCUGGAAGACAGGGGGGCAGUCAGCUGACUUUCCUAAGCAGGGCUCUGACACCAGGGGAAUAAAAUCAGAGUUAAAGGGCCAGGCUGAGGUGAGGGCUGGCAGCCAACAAUCAGGCCUAGAGAAAAAUGCAAAGAAAAUGCAGCCAAGGAGGAGAAAUGUGGAAACCUGAGAAUGGUUCCAUCAAGCUCAAGCACAUGUGCGAUCGUUCGUGUGCACAUGCACACACACACACUCAGCCUUGCAUCCCACAUCAUUCAAUUCCCCUGCGUGUUCUAAACCUAGAUGAUCAGAUAAUAAGAGGUUGAGUGGUAUGCAUAACAUCAAGUUGAUUAAAUUUGUUUACUGAUAAUUCUUUCAGGUUCCCAUGAAUAUCAUGUAAUUUCCUUGCUGUAUUUCAAACAGAUUUGGGCUAAUGCAUUAUUGACAGCACCCUUGCAGACCAUCUCGACAAUGUCAUUCAGGAUAAUUAUUUCACAACAGAUUUCCAGAGCCCCUGGUUCCUGUUGGGAUUCACUUGGGCAUAAAUUACAGAGCCGAAUAUUUAAUCAGUGUCCCCAUUAGAACCCUGUGGCUUAUUUUUAGGAAUUGAGGAGGGAGAGUGGGUGGGGGAGAGGGUAUUUGUAUUAUUACAGCAUGAAUACAUUUCUUCUGUUCUGGGUGGGAUUUUUUUUCCCCCAAAGCUCAACCAAGCUGAAAAGCUGCCUGAAGCAUCUUUGCCUUUUUUAGAAAUAAACACAAGCAUUAAUCUUUGGACUGCAUUAAAUUAAAUAUUAAUGUUAACGGAUCACAUAAUGUGAAGUUAAAAAAACGAUUAACAUUUACACCACAUUCUCUCUCUGUGAGUUUUCCAUCACACAAAUUAGUACCUCUCUUAACUAAUAAUACCUAAGCAAUGGCACCUUGGAAAGGCAGGCCCAGGAGGCAGGGGCUGGGAGAUUGUUUGGGGCAUUUCUUAGGGAGAACUGGGGAAAAGGUGUCAAUGGGCAGCGGCUGACCAGAGCUGCCUCCUGUUCAGGUAGUUCAGCCGUAACUAAGGUGUGACGUAGUUUCUCCCUUGCAAGGAAUAAUCUCAGGGCUAUUUAGCAAUGCCAAGAGCUGUGCCGGAUCAGGCAGUGUUUACAUUCCUGGCUACUUGUGUUGUUCAAGCAGCAGAAUCAAUCAAGCAGUGAGCCUGUGCUGGGUGCCCAGUCGCAAUGCCUCGGCUGCCUGCCUCCCGCUGCAGUUCAGCUUUGCUACCAUAAUGCCCAGAAAGCUAUCGACCCCUGGCUACAGCAGCCUCCUAACUGUCCACUCCAGUCACCUCCACCUGACCCUGCGCAGACUGACCUCCUCUGAAGCCUGCAAAGUUAGCCAUCACCACUCCCUUUUAUAAAGGUGUGCCCCUUGGUUUUUGAGACUUCCUUUAACCCCUCUUUUCAUUUGAAAUUCUGUAUUACCCACUGCCCAGCCCAUUAGCAGCAACCAGACAAAAUGUAGGUCCCCUUCUGCCCUUCCUUCCUCCUCCUCUUUUUUACCUCCUCCUCGCCUCUGACUGCUGAUUUUAGCUAUGGCUGUCCCUCCCUCAUGGUGCCUCCCCCACUGCCUAAUUCAGACCCCUCAAGCAUCCUAGACCCACUAGUUAUCGGUGUCCAAUCUCUCCCCUGUAGCCCUGGGCUUUCCACCCUACCACUGCCAGAGACCACACAGGUUAAUUCAGCACCUCCACUGGCUCCCAAGUCCUCCAGGAUAAAGUCUCCCUAUAGGCUUCACAACUAGCCCCAACUCUGAGCCACUCCCCACCAGACACCCUCUGUUCUAGCCAUCUGAGACUUGUCAUCAUAAAUGCCUUCUAUCUGCGGAGAGGAGAAAUGAGGGCAGGAGAACUUCCUGCCUUCACAAAACCUUACUGUGCACCCACAGUUUGCCAGAGGAUGGGAAGCGACCUCAAGGAACCCAAUCCUGCCCACACCCUCCUGCUCUGAGAAGGGAACUGACUGUCUUACUCUGCCUGGGGUUCCCAGUCUGCAAGAAUAAAGAGAUCCAGCACACUGGAGGUGAUCAGAGAAUCUUCUUGGAGAAUGAGCAUUUGGGCAGAACCUUGAAGAAAUAACAGACUUCAGUAGGCAGAGAAUUUACCUGGUCUGAUUGGCACUAAGCAAUGAGAAGAGGGAAAUGGGAACAGGCUGUGGCAGAAACUCUCCAAAGCAUCUUCCUCCUCCCUCUGAGGAGGUAGGGCAGUGGUCCCAGAGUGAGGAAUCUCCUUGCGGUCACAGCUGCCUCUGAACUGUCUGCGCUACCAAAUCCACUUCUCAAAUCUGAGGCCCUGAGCUCUUACAGUCUGGGCCAUAAGAGGGUAACACCCUUUCCUGCCCAAGUAAUCAGCAACCAGCAUCUCCUUCAAUGCAUGAGACAUGGAGCCAGUAAACUGAGCUUCAAUAUCAUCUCACUCAUUUACUAGUGAUGCGAUCUCAGGCAGGUCCUUGGAGGAAAUAAGCCUCCAAAUCUUCAUGUGCAGAAAAGGGUUAAAAAUACUCCCCCAUCACAGACAUGCAGAUCACACAGGUACAAGGGUAGUGUGGACGGGGGAAGCCCCGUGCUCCAACAUAGCCUCAUGCUCCCAGCCCCUCUAGGAUCCUGGCCUCCAUCAUGGAAGUGCCUGGCUGGAGUCCAUGGUGAGGCCAGUGCCCUGACUGCCUGGCAAGCACAGCUCUGCCCUCCAGAGCUUCCCUGCCUGCUGACUCCACAGCCUAUGAGCAGCAGUCCUCUGUGCCUCCACAUCUUACCCUCCUUUGCAAGGUGCAGACAGAGGCCUGGAGAGUUUGUGAUCAUAUCAUGGUGAACUCUUCCAACACCUGCAGCCACAGUCCCCCUCCUCCUCUCUCUCAGGGCACCACAUGAGCCUCCUCUCUGACUUGCAGCCUUGGCUGCCAGUACUCCAAGGACCAAAACACCAAAAAACCAGACAGGGCUGUGGUCUUCUGUUGCUUUUGGCUGCAUUUCCAAGUAUUGAGUAGAACAUGUAUAUGUUUUAAAAGCUCAAAUGGCACCAAAGGGGAUAUAUGACAAGGCAGUCUCACUCCCAUCCACCUUCAACACCAGCCCCUAAGAUGCCCUUUUCAAGGAACACCUCUUAUAGCCAGAGAUCUCUUACAUAUAUUCAAACAUAUUUAUAUCUUCUUCAUACAGAUUUUAGCACACAUAUUGUUGUCCACUUUGUUUUUUUCACUUACUGUAUCUGAGAGAUUGGCCCAAAUCAAUCAACAUACACAGUCUCCUCAUUCUUUUUGACAAUGCAAAAUUUCUGAUGGCAUGGAUGCACCAUAAUUUAACUAGUGUCCUAUCUGUGGAUCCAUAGCUAUUUCCAGUCUGGUACUUUAAAAACAGACGCUGCAGCAAGCCCCACUGCAAACACAUCACAGCACACACCAGAUCCACAGACAGCACACAGAAGUCAUCUCUCCAGUCCAUGCCCCAGAUACCACCUCCUCCAUGAAGUCAUCAAACACCUUUCCUUUGAUGGAUGAGGAAACUGUCCCCAGAGAGGUUUUGUGACUUACCUUACGAUGCUCAGCUAACUGAUAACAUAGUAAGGAACCCAAGUUUUUCCAUUCUAGAAGUUACUUGAAUUUACAAUUUAAAAAAAUCAUCCAGGAGUUCCCGUCGUGGCGCAGUGGUUAACGAAUCCGACUAGGAACCAUGAGGUUGCGGGUUCAAUCCCUGCCCUUGCUCAGUGGGUUAACGCCUACCCCCACCCCCCUGGAGCUUCCAAGCAGCCUAUUAUCUGAAGAUCUGGGCCUAGAAUUCCAGAAGUCCAAGCCCCUUUCUCAACACAACAGGACAAUGGAAGCAGCAAUCAAUGCAGAAAUACACCAAAAAUGUGUCAGGUAAGGUUUCAACAUCAUCAUGGUUCCCUGGAUUGGAAUUCUGAAGACUGCUAUCAUUUGCCAUUGACAUAUAUCACUUGGCCUCCCCACAACCAGGUCUUCUUACUAUGUAACAGCCACCUGUGUGAGUCUUCAGGAAGCAGAGCCCUCUGAACUCAGAAAACAAUGCAGGCCUGACAGUUGUUUAAUAUUUCCCUACUGGUCUGUGCAGCUGAAGUCCAGUAUGUCACCAAGGAAGAGUAGAUCAGAUGCCCAGGAUGUUUAAGAGGUAGAGAGAGACAGGGUCAGGAGGGAGCACAUGCUGAGGCAGAGGUAGCUCCUAUGUCUCCAAGGCGUCAGUGUGUAGCCCCAAGCACACAUCCAGUGAGGUCAGAGGCAGCACAGCUCCACACCAUGCCUUCCAAGUACCUUUCUGACUGUGGUCCUAGUGCCAGCCACCCUUACCCUGGUUCACCAGAUUUCUGACGAUGCUCUGAGAUAUCAUACUUUCUUUCAACGGAGUCCUUGCCUACUUAAACCAGCCAGAGUUCAUUUUUGUUGCUGGCAACAGUGAAUUUGGCCUGACACUCACUCCAAUGACAGAUUCCUCUGAAGCAGAGAGGAAAUUUUGUCCUGAACUUCUUCCCCCAAGUCAUCAGAGCAAGCCAGUCAUCCCUGGAGGAUAUGGGGGUUUCAACUUAGCUAAUUGGCAGUAAUAAUCCCUUAUGCUUAAGCACUAAUUAUGUCCUCUUCAAAGCUAUCCCCUCCACUAUCCUGCCUCACUAACAUGAUGUACAGAUGAGGUAGACAAGGCAAGUCUUUGUUACUGGCAGGUGAGUUUGAAAGUGGUUAAGGGAUAGGAAAGCAUAAAGACAGGGCCUCGGGGCACCUGGAGGCAUUUUAUAUUGUUAUCACUACUAUUGACAAUAACAAUAACACUAAUUGCUAUUUAGAGUUAGCUAUGGGAGUUCCCCUUGUGGCUCAGCAGGUUACAGACCUGACUGGUAUCCAUGAGGAUGUGGGUUCAAUCCCUGGCCUCAUUCAGUACAGUAAGGACCCAGUGGUGGUGCAGGUCACAGAUGCGGCUCAGAUCCAGCAUUGCUGUGGCCUUGGAGUAGGCCAGUAGCUGUGGCUCCAAUUUAACGGCUAGUCUGGGAACUUCCAUAUGCCGAGGGUGCAGUCCUAAAAAAAAAAAAAAG
rnacentral:lncRNA from 1 species